CCACAUUCUCCUCAAUGGUUCUUUUUCAGUAAUUUAUAAUGAAUGUAAUGAACUCGUUUUACUAUCGCUGCAAAAUCAAUCCAAACAAGCCCUUAAAUUCACCGAUCGGAAAAUUUCCUUUCUCAUUUCCGUCCACCGGUAAUUACUAUGUCGACGGUGACUUCGUCGCAGUACAAUUACUUGGACGGCACAUACUUUCCGACGCCGUUACAUCUCCAACAACAACCGUCGCAACCGUACUCUGCUCCUCCCGUUGUUCCUCCUGUCUAUUCUGCUCCGGCAGCUGUUCCCGACGUUUACUCUUUACCUCAGUAUUUACAGACACAGCAAUUAUUUGAAAGAGUUGCACAGACAAUCACGCCCGAAGCAAUUGAGAAUGUGAAAGCUGCACUUGCGAGCAGUGAGCUUGAGCAAAAAGCUGGCGUGAAAAAGAAAGCUGUGCCUCGAAAGGCAGCAGGACAGACUUGGGAAGAUCCUACUCUUGCAGAGUGGCCAGAGAAUGAUUUUCGGCUAUUCUGUGGUAACCUUGGGAAUGAGGUGAAUGAUGAUGUUUUGUCAAAAGCAUUUUCGAGAUUUCCUUCCUUCAACAUGGCUAGGGUAAGUUCUUCUAGAAUCGUUUCAUCUCUUCCAAUAGUGAUACUUUUAAUUGUCAUACAUGGACUUGUGUCAGUUACAUGUCGUUUGAUCCGAGGGUCUAUCAGAAACUACCUCUCUGCCCCACACAAAAAUAGGGUAAGGUCUACAUACAUCCUACCCUCACUUGUGUGACUACAUUGGGCAUGUUAUCGUUACGAACUGACAACUUCUGAUGAUGAUCAUGAAGGGCUGGAGGUCUUCAUGUCUGUAAUUUUUCUUCCUAUUAUCGUUUUUGUCCAUAUCUCAAGACAUUCAUGAAUAUGGGCUCUUGGAUGGAACCAAACUUGUACUCCUCACCUCAGCAUGUGUUGUGAGAGAAAAGCGGACUGGUAAGACCAAGGGAUAUGGAUUUGUUAGUUUUUCCAACCCUUCAGACCUUGUCGUGGCACUUAAAGAAAUGAAUGCUUGAUAAGAGGGACGAUUAAAAAUCUUUGAAGAUCACCAGACCGGAAUGGUAUGGGAUGAUAACCAAAUGGAUCUGAAAUUUUUCUUGUUUAUUCUGUUUGUUGAUGCCUUAUGGGUCUCUUUCUAUCCCUUGUUUGAUGUCAUAAGGUCAAAAGAUUUGGCCAGACGGAAGAGUGUUAUCUGCAAACCCCUCCCUCCCCCAAUGCGAGAAGACUUGCUGGAUGACACAGCAUCACAACAACUAGGAGUGUGCUGUUGAAGUCGAAUUAGAUAAACGAAAACAAGGGGAACUUUCAGUUAAGAGUAUUUGACCUUGAGCAGUGUGGUUUUCUUAGGCUUCUUUGAAAAAUGGAUGUAUUUGUUGUUGUCAUAGUUAUUUAACCGGCAGUAUACAUCCCACUGAACUCGAAUCCCUUAGUGACAAAGGUAAAAUCUUUCUGAUUUCAGGGAAGUAUGUUGGGAACCGACCAGUUCAACUUCGGAAGAGUAAGUGGAAAGAUAGGAUUGACUAUGAAGCUUUGGCAAGACAGAAGAAUGCGUCUCCAAAGAAAGCAAAGUCACCAAAGAAGAGCGUAUUGCACAAGUGAUCGCCAAACUUAUCGAGUAUCGCUUAGUAGUAGGGUGUAACGCCAGUCACUGAAUAUAGAUGUACCAUUCAGCCUAUCAAAUCUUCUAUUAUCAGUGCUUUUAUGCAUCAGCUGCUGAUAUCUUAGCUAAGAGAUCUCCACCUUGUUAUUUAUAAGUCUUAUUCACAAGUCUGUGUAAUUAAUGUAUUAACAUUGUUUAGUACAGUCAGGUUGUAUCUAGUCAAAAGUGCAUGCAGUUUUCUGUUUUAUUGAUCUUAACUUGAGGGGAAUGCUUUCGACUUAUUAGUGUCGAGUUAAUAAAAUGCUAUGACAAUUUAUUUUAGUUAAUCAAA